rnacentral:rRNA from 1 species
CCAGGAACUGGCUGGAGAUUCGAGAAAACCACAGGUC